rnacentral:rRNA from 1 species
CCGAAACAUUCCUUCAUUGGCAGACGGGUGAGUAACGCGUGGGAACGUACCUUUUGGUUCGGAACAACUGAGGGAAACUUCAGCUAAUACCGGAUAAGCCCUUACGGGGAAAGAUUUAUCGCCGAAAGAUCGGCCCGCGUCUGAUUAGCUAGUUGGUGGGGUAAUGGCCCACCAAGGCGACGAUCAGUAGCUGGUCUGAGAGGAUGAUCAGCCACAUUGGGACUGAGACACGGCCCAAACUCCUACGGGAGGCAGCAGUGGGGAAUAUUGGACAAUGGGCGAAACCCUGAUCCAGCCAUGCCGCGUGAGUGAUGAAGGCCCUAGGGUUGUAAAGCUCUUUUGUGCGGGAAGAUAAUGACGGUACCGCAAGAAUAAGCCCCGGCUAACUUCGUGCCAGCAGCCGCGGUAAUACGAAGGGGGCUAGCGUUGCUCGGAAUCACUGGGCGUAAAGGGUGCGUAGGCGGGUUUCUAAGUCAGAGGUGAAAGCCUGGAGCUCAACUCCAGAACUGCCUUUGAUACUGGAAGUCUUGAGUAUGGCAGAGGUGAGUGGAACUGCGAGUGUAGAGGUGACAUUCCUAGAUAUUCGCAAGAUCACCAGUGGCGAAAGCGGCUCACUGGGCCAUUACUGACGCUGAGGCACGAAAGCGUGGGGAGCAAACAGGAUUAGAUACCCUGGUAGUCCUCGCCGUCAACGAUGAAUGCCAGCCGUAGUGGGUUUAC